CAGCAUUGUCUUAUAUAAGAGGAGACUUUACCAAGAUUGGGGAGAGGGGAUUUCUGGGAUAUCUUUACCAAUGGACAGGAGGUUCGGUUCUGAGCCUCGGACUGGAAGCAGCUCUUUUCCUGAUCUCGGGAUUUGAAUCUCACCAUUCUCCCUAAGGAUUCUCCAUAUUGAACUCAACACCCAUAUUGACUGAGAACUGUUCCUGAUCUCUGCCAUAUCAAGAUCUGAGCGGACUGACUGGACAUUUCAUCUUUGCCCAAGAGGGAUUUUCCCUGGAGCGCAGGCUGUGUCAGUCCUGAAAGCAGAAACAUCUUCCUCCGUGUCAGCUUAUCUUAAAGACUUAUGUUACUACUUUAACGUUAGUUCAAGAUCGCCAGCAUAAGAGAAUAUUAAGAAUAGAUAAGGUUUUCAAACUGGUCUCUGCUGUUCACCAGUCAGGAACUCGCUUCCACACUGGACAUUUAGCGUAGGGACUUCUAUUUAACCACUUACCUGACCCCAUCAUAAGUUUCCGAUCCCAAAUAAAAGGAGUUUGUUUAUUCAAAAACAGUCAGAUCUUUUAAGAGAAGAAAGGAGAUCGGAAGGCGGAGCUUUGGUCCAGGUGGGAGGUCUCUAUUUAGAGUCAGGUAAAGAAAACUAGACCUAGAGAAGUUAAAAGAUUCAUCCAUGAAUAGACAACUAAGAAGCAGAAGAGCCAUGAAUUGUGCUGAAUUGGAUUGGAUUGAUCUGAACUUUCUCAUUGAAAUGAAGACAUCAAAUACAUGAAAAAAAUAACAAGUAAUAGGUGAGGUGAUAACAAUUCCCCUGAGCUCUGCUUAUAGUUGAGACUACUUUGUCAUUCUCUUACAGCUAUAAUCGCACGGAUAAAUGGUCUUUGUUCCCACCAGGCGAUCAGCAGAGCCAUUAGGAAAUGGUAAACCUGAUACGACAGCAGCUGCCUCCAUGGCAGCACAGCUAACAACAGAUUUAUGCAUGGAGGAAGAAUUUAUGAACAAUUAAGAGAAAGAAGAUUUUGUGAAAUGUAAAACAGAUAAUUUUGAAUAUAUUAAAUUUAAAAGGUUUUGUACAAAUAAAGCUAAUGUAUCCAAGAUUAAAAAGAAAAUG
rnacentral:lncRNA from 1 species